UCCUCUGGCCUCCCAUUUGGGUGCGUGUAAAAGCAUCUUUCAGUCAAGAAAGGGCCUGCUGGGGAGAGGUGGAACUUAGGUGAUGAAGAAAUAGGAGUCCAUCACAUUGCACCAUACACCAGCCUAGUGAAAAGAGGGCUUUAUGCUCAGUUUGAAAGAGGCCAGUGCAAAAGUAACCUAGGUAAGUAAAAAUUAAGGAACACAUAGAAGAAAAACAUUGGAAAGUUUAAAAGAGCA
rnacentral:lncRNA from 1 species